CUUCACCGAGCCGAGCCAGAGCGGCCGGUCCUCGGUGUGGUCCUGCCCGUACGUGGCGAGCAGCGCCUGCGCCUC
rnacentral:antisense_RNA from 1 species